ACUGGAUGGAUUCUUUAACUUACCAAUCAGAACUGCUGACCUUUUAUGACUCUACAAUUCAAGAAGCCUGCCAAAUACUCACAACAACAGGAAACCACUGAAAGCUUUGAUAAGAAUGGAGGACGAUAUUAAGAAAUUAAUGUUCUUGAAGAAUGAAUGUGAUCUCAAAAAGCAGAAACAACCCCAAAGUCCAUCAACUGAUGAAUAAAAUGUGGUACCCUCCAUACAACUGAAUACUAUUCAGUCCUAAAAAGAAUGAAGUUCUCAUGCAUGCUACAACACAGAAGAACACUGAAAACAUCGUGUUACGUGAAAGAAGCCAAACACAAAAGGCCAUGUACUGUAUGACUCCAUUUAUAAGAAAUGUCUAAAAUAGGCAAAUCCAUAGAGAUAGGAAGUAGAUUAGUGGUUGCCAGGAGACUGCGCAAAGAGGAAAUGGGAAGUGACUCCUUAAUGAGCAUCAGGGUUCUUUUGAGGUAAUGAAAAUGUUCUGGAUUAAUAGUGAUAAUUACUGCACAACUGUGUGAAUACAAUGAAAACGACCGAAUAUUUAUUUAUUUAUUUAUUUGAGACGGAGUUUUGCUCCUGUUGCCCAGGCUGGAGUGCAAAUGGCACCAUCUCGGCUCACCGCAACCUCCACCUCCCAGGUUCCAGCGAUUCUCCUGCCUCGGCCUCCCAAAUAGCUGGGACUACAGGCGCACACCACCAUGCUCGGCUAAUUUUUGUAUUUUUAGUAGAGACGGGGUUUCACCAUAUUGGCCAGGCUGGUCUCGAACCCUUGACCUCAGGUGAUCCGCUCACCUCAGCCUCCCAAACUGGGAUUACAGGCAUGAGCCAUUGCGCCUGGCCUGAACUGAGUAUUUAAUAGCGUGAAUUUUCUGGUAUGCAAAUUAUGCCGGCCUGAAUUGAGUAUUUAAUAGAGUGAAUUUUCUGGUAUGCAAAUUAUACCUCAAUAACUAAAAAAGCUGCAGGAUAUGCAAAGAGAUCGCAGAUAGUUAAAAUAGAAAGCAACUACACUGGUUUAGCAAUGAGUACAUAAAAGCCAUUGAAGUUUCUAUUGUUAACCCUAAUCCAGGGAAGCACCAUUCAGGUUACUGUGCUCCAGAGUACUCCACUCACAGAGACCCUAUUGGAGGAUACAGCCCGAGAAAAAGAAUACAUAAAUUUAAACAAAGAGGUAAAAGAAUUGUCAAUAAUAAUGUAUGUCUGAAUGUGAACAGGAAGGAAUUAUGACAAAAAAGAAAUCUAUUUUCUCUUUGAUUUUAAAAAGCAACAUUCCCAAAGAGGAAAUUCAAUAAAGUUUACCAUUGGUUAUCUCUGGACUGAGGAAGUGAGGACAAUUUGUUGUCUUUUACCCAGACUUUUCCAACUCUUCAACAAUGACAUUACUUGUAUAAUGAAAAUGUAUAAAAAUGUACUUACCUUUAUAAAAAUAAAAAACUUUACAUCUCAACCAUAGAAACCAUUCUGAAACACUAA
ensembl:lncRNA novel transcript, antisense to FBXW7